GAGAGAGAGAAAGAGAGAGAGAGUACAAUGUGAGUAAACCUGAAAGAGAAAGAACGUGCUUUUUAUUUGCUGCUAUUGGUACUUUUUGUCUUCAGCAAUAAUCGUCAUUUGCACCUUCGUUAGCACCGCCACCAACGCCACUGGUAGCGACCACAUUGUCCGGUUCUUGAUGUCCUGAGAUCAUUUUUAUUUUCUUUUGAGUUUUUGUUUUGGAGCGCUGGAUCUUGAUCAAAGUAUGGGGAGUGUAUCCUCUGAUGAGCAGAGUGAGAGAUGUGGGAGCUAUAGCUUGAGUGCUGACGUCAGCGAAUCAGAGAGUUACAGUAGUUUCUCUUGUCGGCGGUUUGAUGGUGAAGGUGCUUCUGCCUCUUUGACUUCGUCUCCUCGUCCCACUGUAGCUUCCAGCUUCUGUUUACAGGCGCCGGUGUUGCUGCCGGUGAUUGGAGGAAAGGACAUGAUGAUUUGGGACGUCAAGCCUGAGAAACGAGAGACGGAUUUAUCUGAAGUUGAAAUGAUGAAAGAGAGAUUUGCUAAGCUUCUUCUGGGAGAGGAUAUGUCUGGAGGUGGUAAAGGAGUCUGCACUGCACUUGCCAUUUCGAAUGCUAUCACAAAUCUUUCUGCAACUGUGUUUGGUGAGCUUUGGAGGUUAGAGCCAUUAGCACCACUAAAGAAAUCAAUGUGGCGCAGAGAAAUCGGAUGGCUCUUAUGUGUGAGUGAUUCAAUAGUUGAGCUUGUUCCUUCAAUACAACAAUUCCCUGGUGGAGGCACCUAUGAGGUCAUGGCAACUCGACCACGCUUAGAUUUAUACAUGAAUCUCCCUGCCCUGAAGAAGCUUGAUGCUAUGUUAAUUAGCAUGCUUGAUGGGUUCGGUGAUACGGAAUUCUGGUAUGUUGAUCGAGGGAUAAUUGUGGCAGAUGGUGGUGAUUGCGAUGUGUAUCCAUCAAGUAUUUCUGGUGGGAGACCUUCAAUUAGGCAGGAAGAGAAAUGGUGGUUGCCUUGUCCAAAAGUACCAUCAAAUGGGUUGUCUAAGGAUGCAAGGAAAAGGUUACAGCAGUGCAGGGAUUGCACAAACCAGAUAUUAAAGGCAGCAAUGGCAAUUAAUAGUAGCGUGCUUGCUGAGAUGGAGAUACCUAGUGUGUACUUGGAGACCUUACCUAAGAGUGGAAAAGCUUGUCUGGGAGAUAUGAUCUACCGUUACAUAACCGCUGAGCAGUUCAAGCCUGAAUGUCUUCUUGAUUGCCUAGACCUAUCAACUGAGCAUCACACUCUGGAAAUAGCUAACAGGAUUGAGGCAGCCGUGCAUGUCUGGAAGCAGAAAGAUAGGAGAAAGCUGACAAAUCACACGAAAGUUAGGCACUCAUCAUGGGGUGGCAAGGUUAAGGGCCUUGUUGCUGACACCAAAAAGAAUCAUUUUCUGGCCCAACGAGCUGAGACACUCUUACAAAGCCUAAGGAUUCGUUUUCCUGGCCUUCCACAGACAGCAUUGGAUAUGAACAAGAUUCAAUAUAACAAGGUAUUUGCUCCAAUCCUUUAAGAAUAUUACAAAAGUAAUAACUACUUGUUACUCUUGAUUGCCAACAUGAAAAGAUUACAUGUAAUACAUGGUAAAUAAGUCUUUGGGGACAUUCACUGAAUGCAAUGCUUUUAUAACAAUUAGCUCAAGAGGCAAUUCAAUUAUUGCAGUCAUUUAAUUUAGAGUACCAACAGAGCUUGUAAAUAGAGCAGAAGGCACUGGCAUGUUACUGAUUGUUUUAUGUGGCCAAUCUCUUGCUGAAUGCCAUAUAUCAUAUGAGUGGUAUGACCUACUUUGGAAAGAAUGAUCAAAAAAUUCUCCCCCAUGAUUUAUUUAUGUUUCUAGUUUGAGCUCCUUAGACCUUACAAGAAUAGUUGUCCUGCCAAGCAUUGAUGUGGCCUGCUGUGCAGUUGGCUUCCUAUAAUAUUUUAUAAAUUGAAAAAUUAGAAAAAAAUGAUAAAAGUUUUUGUUAAUGCAGGAUGUUGGACAGUCGAUUCUUGAAAGCUACUCAAGAGUAAUGGAGAGCUUAGCCUUCAACAUUAUGGCAAGGAUAGAUGAUGUUAUUUAUGUAGAUGAUGCCACCAAAUGUGCUGCAGCAGAAUCAAUGUCACUAUUCAAUAGAAACGGUUUGGGUGGUCUUCCGAUCCAGAAGCGAAUGUCUCCUAGCCCCUUCUCCAUCCAACACAGUCCCUUUGCCUCUCCAUUUGCAACCCCAACUUUCUG
rnacentral:misc_RNA from 1 species